rnacentral:snRNA from 1 species
GUGCUGGCUUUGCCAGCACAUACACUAAAAUUGGAAUGAUGCAGAGAAGAUUAGCAUGGCCCCUGCACAAGGAUGACAUGUAAAUUCAUGAAGUGUUCCAUCCGACA